AGCUCCUUGCUUUAAUUUUAUAGGGAGUUUGGCCUGCCCGGUGAUAAAAAUUUUAACGGCCGCGGUACUCUGACCGUGCAAAGGUAGCAUAAUCAUUUGCCUUAUAAUUGAAGGCUAGUAUGAAAGGUUGGACGAAGGCCUGAUUGUCUCUUAUUGAGUGAGAUGAAAUUAACUUACAGGUGCAAAGGCCUAUAUUUUACUGAAAGACAAGAAGACCCUAUUGAGCUUAAAAGAUUUAGUGAAACAAAAUAAUAUUAAUAUUGAAGAUUUUUAGUUUCUUUUGUUUUUUAGUUGGGGCGACUUAGGAACAAUAAAAGCUUCCUAGUGUUAAAAAGACUUUUGGUUUCGAUCCAAAAAAUUUUGAUUAACAAAAUUAGUUACCAUAGGGAUAACAGCAUAAUCUUUUUUGAGAGCUCUAAUCGAAAAAAAGGAUUGUGACCUCGAUGUUGGACUAGAAUAUCCUAAAGGUGCAGAAGCUUUUAAGGGUUGGUCUGUUCGACCAUUAAAAUUCUACAUGAUCUGAGUUCAGACCGGCGUGAGCCAGGUCAGUUUCUAUCUUUAGUUUUUUUGUGAUCUUAGUACGAAAGGAUCAGAUUACUAAGCAAUAUAUGCUUUCCUUAUGAUUAAAUAUAAUAAGAAUAUAAUAUUAAUAUUUAAU
rnacentral:rRNA from 1 species